CGCAUCUCACAUCCUUCGACGGUGUCUCGAUGUCGUUUCCCCUUUCUCUCACCAUCUAAAACGGUCGAGUUAAGAGUUUGUGUUUAAUCCCAUUGAUUCUCUCCUCCACGAUGUGUAUUCAAAGCAUUCUUCGAGCAGAGAGGCGGUGUGAUUUUUGUAUAAAUAGAUGCGAGAUUUCUCCCUUUCAAUUCAUCUUCUCUUCGAAUCUCUAUGUUGAUGAGUUGAUUCCCAGUGUGCGUGUGUGGUUUGUUGCUACUUGGAGAAACCGAAGCUUUAGAUUCGUUGAUGCCCCUGUGUCUGUUAGAUUCACUGAUCAAACAAAAUUGAAUGAGCUAGCAGAAGACAGUAAGUAAAUCACGAUGGAACAAUUCCACUUUCGUAGCUGAUGAUGUUGUCUAACACGAACACCAAUUUGCCAGUUAUGGGUAUCACUACUGCUUACAAUGAAGAAACACGAAGCAUUCAACGUAUUAUGGAAAAUUCAGGCAUUCACAGUUCAUUCCCACAGCCCACUUAUCCUUCUAAUGUUGUGAUGAAACUAAGAAGAAGAUAGUAGCUUAAAUGGAACAAUUUUGGGCUGAAAGUUCAAGAACCAAGCAAUCAAAGGAGAGGUUCACUUCAUUUUGUCCAGAAAACAUUGCAGAAGCUGCAGUUCAAGAAGGAAGUUGUGAAUUAGAAUUUGAUUUGGACAGUUGCAAAAAGAUAAACAAGAGAUUUUUGUUUUUUGGUUUGGUGUUGGUUAUUGUAGGUGAUAUUGGUAAUUAUACCUCAAACAGCUAACGUAGCUCAAAGCAAAUGUAAUCUGAUUUUUGGUUUG